rnacentral:rRNA from 1 species
UGAGGAAUAUUGGUCAAUGGGCGCGAGCCUGAACCAGCCAAGUAGCGUGCAGGAAGACGGCCCUAUGGGUUGUAAACUGCUUUUAUGCGGGGAUAAAGGAGUCCACGUGUGGAUUUUUGCAGGUACCGCAUGAAUAAGGACCGGCUAAUUCCGUGCCAGCAGCCGCGGUAAUACGGAAGGUCCGGGCGUUAUCCGGAUUUAUUGGGUUUAAAGGGAGCGUAGGCCGCGUUUUAAGCGUGUUGUGAAAUGUAGACGCCCAACGUCUGCAUCGCAGCGCGAACUGGGACGCUUGAGUACGCGCAACGUUGGCGGAAUUCGUCGUGUAGCGGUGAAAUGCUUAGAUAUGGCGAGGAACUCCGAUUGCGAAGGCAGCUGACGGGAGCGGCACUGACGCUUAAGCUCGAAGGUGCGGGUAUCAAACAGG